GUUUAUGAGUUUUCUUGAAUUGUUGUAAUCAGAUGAAAAUAGGAGAGGGGACAGAGAAGUUAUCUUCUAUGGUCACCUCUCCUUGUGAUCCACUGGGGGAUGAGUUAUUGCAAGGGCAGUGGUCCAGGGAAGAGACGGAUCACAAGGGUAUUGAAAAGGGAUUAGAUUUAUAUGGAAGCGUGGAUGAGAGUGAAUUUAUGGACAGUAUGGAUAUGGGUGAGGAGUGGAUUGGGA
rnacentral:misc_RNA from 1 species